UACGAAGGGGCUAGCGUUGUUCGGAAUUACUGGGCGUAAAGCGCGCGCAGGCGGUCUUCCAAGUCAGUGGUGAAAGCCCGGCGAGCUCAACUCCGGAACUGCCAUUGAAACUGUAAGACUUGAGGACGAGAGAGGUGAGUGGAAUUCCCGAGUGUAGAGGUGAAAUUCGUAGAUAUUGGGAAGAACACCGGUGGCGAAGGCGGCUCACUGGCUCGUAUCUGACGCUCAGGCGCGACAGCGUGGGGAUCAAACAGG
rnacentral:rRNA from 1 species